rnacentral:rRNA from 1 species
GAUGAACGCUGGCGGCGUGCCUAAUACAUGCAAGUCGAGCGAACGGACGAGAAGCUUGCUUUUCUGAUGUUAGCGGCGGACGGGUGAGUAACACGUGGAUAACCUACCUAUAAGACUGGGAUAACUUCGGGAAACCGGAGCUAAUACCGGAUAAUAUUUUGAACCGCAUGGUUCAAAAGUGAAAGACGGUCUUGCUGUCACUUAUAGAUGGAUCCGCGCUGCAUUAGCUAGUUGGUAAGGUAACGGCUUACCAAGGCAACGAUGCAUAGCCGACCUGAGAGGGGGAUCGGCCACACUGGAACUGAGACACGGUCCAGACUCCUACGGAAGGCAGCAGUAGGGAAUCUGCCGCAAUGGGCGAAAGCCUGACGGAGCAACGCCGCGUGAGUGAUGAAGGUCUUCGGAUCGUAAAACUCUGUUAUUAGGGAAGAACAUAUGUGUAAGUAACUGUGCACAUCUUGACGGUACCUAAUCAGAAAGCCACGGCUAACUACGUG